rnacentral:rRNA from 1 species
UACGGGAGGCAGCAGUGGGGAAUAUUGCACAAUGGGCGCAAGCCUGAUGCAGCCAUGCCGCGUGUAUGAAGAAGGCCUUCGGGUUGUAAAGUACUUUCAGUCGUGAGGAAGGUGUUAAGGUUAAUAACCUUAGCAAUUGACGUUAGCGACAGAAGAAGCACCGGCUAACUCCGUGCCAGCAGCCGCGGUAAUACGGAGGGUGCGAGCGUUAAUCGGAAUUACUGGGCGUAAAGGGCACGCAGGCGGUUAAUUAAGUUGGAUGUGAAAUCCCCGGGCUUAACCUGGGAAUGGCAUUCAAGACUGGUUAGCUAGAGUCUUGUAGAGGGGGUAGAAUUCCAUGUGUAGCGGUGAAAUGCGUAGAGAUGUGGAGGAAUACCGGGUGGCGAAGGCGGCCCCUGGGACAAAGACUGACGCUCAUGUGCGAAAGCGUGGGGAGCAAACGAGGAUUAGAUACC